rnacentral:rRNA from 1 species
GAUGAACGCUGACAGCAUGCUUAACACAUGCAAGUCUUUGGCGAAUCUGUGCUUGCACAGGCUAGCCAAGGCGGACGGGUGAGUAACGCGUAAAGAACUAGCCCUGCAGACAGGGAUAACAGACGGAAACGACUGAUAACACCUGAUACAGUUGCCGGCACGCAUGUGCCUGGCAAUGAAAAGAGAUGCUGCAGGAGAGCUUUGCGUCCUAUUAGCUUGUUGGUGAGGUGACGGCUCACCAAGGCGAUGAUAGGUAGCCGGCCUGAGAGGGUGAACGGCCACAAGGGGACUGAGAUACGGCCCUUACUCCUACGGGAGGCAGCAGUGGGGAAUAUUGGACAAUGGGGGCAACCCUGAUCCAGCAAUUCUGUGUGCACGAAGAAGGUUUUCGGAUUGUAAAGUGCUUUCAGCAGGGAAGAAGAAAGUGACGGUACCUGCAGAAGAAGCGACGGCUAAAUACGUG